rnacentral:rRNA from 1 species
AUUGAACGCUGGCGGCAGGCCUAACACAUGCAAGUCGAACGGUAGCACAGAGAGCUUGCUCUCGGGUGACGAGUGGCGGACGGGUGAGUAAUGUCUGGGAAACUGCCCGAUGGGGGGGGAUAACUACUGGAAACGGUAGCUAAUACCGCAUAAUGUCGCAAGACCAAAGAGGGGGACCUUCGGGCCUCUUGCCAUCGGAUGUGCCCAGAUGGGAUUAGCUUGUUGGUGAGGUAAUGGCUCACCAAGGCGACGAUCCCUAGCUGGUCUGAGAGGAUGACCAGCCACACUGGAACUGAGACACGGUCCAGACUCCUACGGGAGGCAGCAGUGGGGAAUAUUGCACAAUGGGCGCAAGCCUGAUGCAGCCAUGCCGCGUGUGUGAAGAAGGCCUUCGGGUUGUAAAGCACUUUCAGCGGGGAGGAAGGCGAUACGGUUAAUAACCGUGUUGAUUGACGUUACCCGCAGAAGAAGCACCGGCUAACUCCGUG